AAUAAAUAUUAUAUCAUACCGUAGACAGUAGGUGCUUUUAGGAGCUUAAUGGUCCUGCCGAGGUGUGUAGCACAGAAAACGAUCGACUAUUGAUUUGUUAUAUCUGAUACUACGCCUUCAUGUCUAACCACGUGAAGGCUUUUCUUAUGCUACG
rfam:Fictibacillus macauensis ZFHKF-1 Contig41, whole genome shotgun sequence.